AGAAGAGACAGAGAAUAUGGUUGAAGUAAUAAGAAGAUUUGCAGAGAAGAAUAAUGAAGAGAGGAAUAGAGAAGAGAAACAAUGGGGUCCUCUAUAGAGAUGAGCAUUGCAAGAUUAUGUCCUCCCUCUUCUUCUCCUUCAGAUAGUGCUUCAUCAGUCACAUAAUCUGUUAACCAGGUAUGUGAGCAUAAGCCACACAUCCAAACACACGGAAACACUCAACACUAGGCUUCAUGUUACUCCAAGCUUCUUCAGGAGUAGUAUUGAGAACAGCUGUGGUGGGGCUUCUAUUUAUCACAUAGAUGGACCAAUUUACAGCCUCU